AUGCAACCAAAUGAUACCUAUACAAGGGUUCAAGUUUCAAUCGAUAUUUGCGGAGUUGAUUAUCCUUCUCGAAAACGAAGAUUUGAAGUGGUCUAUAAUUUAUUGAGUAGUCGGUAUAAUUCACGCAUUCGUGUACAAAUCAGUGCAGACGAAGUAACAUGAAUAUCUCUGAUAGUUAGUCUAUUUCCAUCAACCGACCGUUAA
rnacentral:lncRNA from 1 species